UUUUAGCAGUUGGAGGAUUUCUCUUUAGUUUUUGGCUAAACACUAUGAGCCAUUUCUGCUGCUAGCACUAUUCUAACACGUUUGUUUUGGGUGUAUUUACCCAGAAUGCCCUGCACUGUAGUCCACUUCCAGCUUUUGGAGCAGUUUCCGGUCCACUUGGUGUUCGCAUAUGCAUUCAAACUGAACCAGACCAAGGUUUUGAGGACC